rnacentral:rRNA from 1 species
GACGAACGCUGGCGGCGUGCCUAAUACAUGCAAGUCGAACGCAGUGGGGACGGGUGAGUAACACGUGGGUAACCUCCCAUCAGAGGGGAUAACACUUUGAAACAGGUGCUAAACCGAUACCGUUGGAUGGACCCGCGGUGCAUUAGCGAGUUGGUGAGGUAACGUCUCACCAAGGUCACGAUGCAUAGUCGGACGGAGAGGAUGGUCUGUCACACGGGGACUGAGACACUGCCCAGAGUCCUACAUGAGGCAGCAGUAGGGAAUCUUCGGCAAUGGACGAAAGUCUGACCGAGCAAAGCCGCGUGAGUGAAGAAGGUUUUCGGAUCGUAAAGCACUGUUGUUAGAGAAGCGGUAUCUAACCAGAAAGCCACGGCUGACUACGUGCCAGCAGCCGCGGUAAUUC